rnacentral:misc_RNA from 1 species
CAAGGCUGCCUAUCUCUCUUGGGAUUUCUCCGGUCAUGCUGUUAAAUCGCAGGACUAGUUCCUUCAGAUUUACAAGGCCUGCUAUAGUGGAAGGGAUUCUCCCCGUCAGUCUUUUUCCCCCGAGACUGAGUAGCUGCAGGUAUUGCAGGGAGCCUAUCUCGCUGGGUACUCCCCCAUGCAAACUGUUGUCGUCGAGCAUGAUCUCUAUCAGGUGGCUACAGUUUGAAAGCGACGGUGGGAUCUGGCCAGAUAUGGAGUUGUGGUGAAGCUGUAGAGUCUCUAGGUCAUGGAUGUUACCGAGCUCCGGAGGCAGGAUUCCAUGGAAGCCAUUAGAUGAAAGGUCGAGCCGCCUCAGGUAAGUGAGGUUUCCUAGCGCGGGGGUGAUGGUGCCAAGCAAGUUGAGCUCGGGGAGGUCCAGUGCCACCACAUGGCCCCGGCGAUGUCCCCUCAAGCCGCACGCCACGCCGCGCCACCGGCACAUGGGAAUGGACAUGUUGCCCCACGAGGCUAGGGCUCUCGUAUGGUCGCUCCCCACGAGGGACUUGAACGACAUGAGCGCGAGCUCGUCGGAGGAGUGGAGGGCGUGUGCUGAUGCAUCUCCAUGGGCUGCGUUUUUGGCGAGGCAAAUUAGGGAGAAGGCGAGCAUGUGGAAGAUGAGCAUCAUCAUAGUGAUGCUGAUUAUAUGUUUCUUUGCAGACAAUGCAUGGUGCUUAUUAUAUUCUGGAUCGGAUGGAGUUGCCAUUGCGACGACUGACCCGAAGAGGGAAUGUCAGGCUUUUUCCUGUUUUAGUCAUGCUGCAAGAGCAAGACUGGCGUUGGAUAUCUUUGCCAGUCAGAGUUUGGUUGGCGACCACCAAUCUAGCACUGAGGCUCUACCUAGUGUUGUACCUCUUUCUAUUUUUUGUCUACUAACCCAUGGUCAAGCUUGGUCAACUGCAACAGGUUGUAUAUAAAAGACGGGGGCAUCCUUAGGCCCAGCUGAUAGCAGUUAGUUUGUAUAAUCCUUUCUAAAAUAUAAUUCGUUUUAGACUAAAUCUGUAUUCAUUCAAUAACAUAUGAAUAUAGUUUGUAUUCAUUAUCAUUGCAUGGUGCUUAUAUUGUGGAUGGGGCUAG